ensembl:lncRNA
GACAUUGUCUGUCUUCAUGUACCACUUGCACACCUCAGGUACCGUUAAUCCGAUCCGUUCAUCCUGCUCCAUCAGUUCUGGGGAUUCACAACGGUCAACAGGGACGAAAUCCAGCCAAUCCAAGGACGAAAAGUGAGGUGUUUAUUGUGCUCCGAGGAGUUUGGGUGCAAUAACAGCACCUCCUCCAUGCUGAGGCCUCACCGUGCCUUGCAUGAGAAUAAGGAGGAAACUGGAGCUUCACCCAGCCAAGCUGGAUGAAGCCUCGUCUCCAUGACAGCGAAGGACACGCAGCCCUUCAGUAUUGUGGAUGAUUCAGGGCAUUUGUGUCCAAACUGGAUCCUCAUCAUGUUCUCCCUACAAGGCAGGCUCUGCAGGCCGUGGUGGAGGCUGAGUAGGAGUCAGCUAAGGAGAAGGCUAAAGUGGAAAAGGUGGCUGCUGUUAGCCUUACUUCUGACAUGUGGACAUCCAUCAGUAUGGAUGCCUACCUGGCUGUAAGGUGCCACUUUGUGGGGGAGAAAACCACACUGGGUUCAGUGCUUCCCCCGAUCACACACUGCUGAACAUAUAGCUCGUGUGAAAGCCUCCCUGAUGGAGGAAUGGGGAAUCGAUCAUAAGGUGACGUGUGUGGUCACUGAUGGUGCUCCCAAUGUGGUUUCCUGUGUGA